AUUGAACGCUGGCGGCAGGCUUAACACAUGCAAGUCGAGCGGGGUGAUGGUGCUUGCACUAUCACUUAGCGGCGGACGGGUGAGUAAUGCUUAGGAAUCUGCCUAUUAGUGGGGGACAACAUCUCGAAAGGGAUGCUAAUACCGCAUACGUCCUACGGGAGAAAGCAGGGGAUCACUUGUGACCUUGCGCUAAUAGAUGAGCCUAAGUCGGAUUAGCUAGUUGGUGGGGUAAAGGCCUACCAAGGCGACGAUCUGUAGCGGGUCUGGGAGGAUGAUCCGCCACACUAGGACUGAGACACGGCCCAGACUCCUACGGGAGGCAGCAGUGGGGAAUAUUGGACAAUGGGGGGAACCCUGAUCCAGCCAUGCCGCGUGUGUGAAGAAGGCCUUAUGGUUGUAAAGCACUUUAAGCGAGGAGGAGGCUCUUUUGGUUAAUACCCAAGAUGAGUGGACGUUACUCGCAGAAUAAGCACCGGCUAACUCUGUGCCAGCCGCCGCGGUAA
rnacentral:rRNA from 1 species